UACGAAGGGGCUAGCGUUGUUCGGAAUUACUGGCGUAAGCGCACGUAGGCGGAUUUGUAAGUCAGGGUGAAAUCCCGGGGCUCAACCUCGGAACUGCCUUUGAUACUGCAAAUCUCGAGUCCGGAAGAGGUGAGUGGAAUUCCUAGUGUAGAGGUGAAAUUCGUAGAUAUUAGGAAGAACACCAGUGGCGAAGGGCGGCUCACUGGUCCGGUACUGACGCUGAGGUGCGAAAGCGUGGGAGCAACAGG
rnacentral:rRNA from 1 species